rnacentral:rRNA from 1 species
UGAGGAAUAUUGGACAAUGGGUGGAAGCCUGAUCCAGCCAUCCCGCGUGAAGGAUGACGGUUCUAUGGAUUGUAAACUUCUUUUGUACAGGGAUAAACCUGCCCUCGUGAGGGCAGCUGAAGGUACUGUACGAAUAAGCACCGGCUAACUCCGUGCCAGCAGCCGCGGUAAUACGGAGGGUGCGAGCGUUAUCCGGAUUUAUUGGGUUUAAAGGGUCCGUAGGCGGGCCUGUAAGUCAGUGGUGAAAUCUCAUAGCUUAACUAUGAAACUGCCAUUGAUACUGCAUGCCUUGAGUAAAUUUGAAGUGGCUAGAAUAAGUAGUGUAGCGGUGAAAUGCAUAGAUAUUACUUAGAACACCGAUUGCGAAGGCAGGUCACUAAGAUUUAACUGACGCUGAUGGACGAAAGCGUGGGGAGCGAACA